AUUCCUUGAUGAGGACAUUGCCGUAGAAGGUCCUUGAAUCUCUCCCAUGCGUCUGAACCGUUUCAUCUUUUUCUUGAUAAAACGUCAUAAUUUCAUUUCUAAUUUU